GUUUUUAUGAAAUAUUUUAAACUAAGCAAUAAAAUGUAAACAAAGAAGAAGGAAUCAGAUUAUUUAUCUAAUUUAUAAAUUCAUCUAUUCAAAAUACAAAACUCCACAGAGUGCAGCUCCAAAAGUUACUUUACAGACAAUAACUAUAGAAAACCCUUCAUUUGAACCCGGAGACCAUCAAUGACAUCAUGAACCAGGAAGUGCUGGGCUGGCCCCGCCCACACACCUGUCCUGAAUGCGGGAUCUGAACAAAGGAACAAACCAAGGUGAGUUUAUGCUAACAAACAUAAACAGAAAUCAUUUACCAGAAAUGUUCCUUCAGAAGAAGGAAAACUCAAACGAACAUGAGAUUGAAUAAUAUUUGUACUUGGAUGGAAACUGUGACAUAAAACCAGGAAAGUCUCUAACUUUCUCACAUUCAGUAACAAACGUCUGCUUAAAGCUGAUUCCUAAAACUGGCACCUUCUUAACUUUAUCCUUAUGCUUCCUUUACAAUUAUUUUUAUUUGACUUUUAAUCUUCCUGAAAAAUAUUCUGGGAAAUGCCUUGCAGAAGUAUUUACACCCUUCAAGCUUUUUUCACAACCUGUCAAAACACCUCAGUGGCUUGUUGAGGAUUUAGUUUGACAGACUGACACGAAGCAUGAUAAUGACGUGAGAGAAGAAAAGCUGCUUGGUUUUGUUUAAUUAAUCCCAUGUGUGUUUUUAAAACUCAGAUUAUUUUCAGAUGUUCUGUUUCUGGUUUGAUGGAGAACCCGGCUGCUGGUCGUUGUGCAUUAAUUUAAAUCUGGGUUCGGUUCCACAGUUUGUCUGCUGCCAUCCAUCUGAGACUCGCUAGAGACGGCCAGCCCUGGAUGCUGUCCGCACCAGAACACGCGGGGAGUUUCACCCGACAGACGCCGAGGACUUCAGGGAGGCUCUGAAGAUCCAAUGCAUUGACAUGCAGACAGCUUGGCGGUAAAGUCCACAUCCUCCCAGUUAAAGCUGAACUCAUCUCUGAAGUCUAAGCUUUCGAGGUGUCAAUAAACCCAGAAACAUGGAGGAGGGGCAGCGCAGAUGUGAAAAGCAUCAAAGUGCAUCAACUGGAGGCGAAAGACAAGGAUGGAGAGAUGAGAAACCCAAAGAGACAGCUGGAUGGAGAAGGCAAACAAACAGCAGGCUGGAGGUAAAGUCACACAAACGGCAGAAUGUCAACCAGCAGCUCAGAAAAACCCGACUUAAUCACAUCUUCCCUGAAGCUUGUGGAUAGAAGUGGAGUCAAAAAUAAGCUCCUCGUGAUCAUCUCCAGCCAGGGGAGAGCAUGCUGCGUUUAUUCUCAGACAUGCUUUGGGUCCAAAUUACUUCUGCUCCAGAACAGAACAGAACAGCAGAGCGGAUCACAACCUGCUGCAGUCUGCACUCCUAUCAGCUGCACAUCAGAGGAACGUUCCAAAUGUGCAACAAAGUCUGACACAGCAGGUUCAACUCAACUGGAUUUAAAAAGAAAAGCUCAAAAUUAUGUUCAUAAUUUUCAUGUUCUUUCAUGUACAUGAUCUGGAAACUCUUCAUCUUCUUGCUCAAAUCUAAAUAUGAACUAAAUUAUAUUGUUCUGAUUUUGUAGAAAUAAAUAAAAUAGAAAAUAUUUUUUCUUGCAAAAA